rnacentral:lncRNA from 10 species
GCGCGGAGAGAGAGCGAGGACUGCUAGCACGUUGUCACCUCUCAAUCUCCUCCGGGAGUGGUGGGCAGCUACUGUGAAAGGCCUGGUUCAAAAACCUCACAGCGGUUGUUUUCAGAGUUGUCCCUCCUGUGUACUCUCAAAGCCCCAGAAUGAAGCAAAGCAUCCUCCCUUUUCAAACUGGCACUCUUCCCCAACCUUGAGGACCACUAGGCACUUUGUUUUUAAAGCCACAGUUACUUUUAUGGAGAAGUAUUGUUAUGAAAAAAGGGAGGCAUCUGAGGAGUGGAAACAGAGAAAUGAGUGACUGAGAUCAGUGUCUUAUUUUGACCAUCUUUUCCAAGUGCUGCAUCCUCCCAAACACAACAUGAACUCAACACUUAAUAAAGCUGCAGUCCUACGUGUUUUAUUUGUGUAAGAAACUAAGUCCAAAACAUUCUGCAACGCGAGUAAAAAUUCACUUCUGCAAUAUAUUAAACACACAUGAACACAG